GGUAUUUCUGAUCGGUAACUAAAAUACUAAUUUCCUCCAGAAAACAGAGGACAAAAGGAGUGUCCAGAAUGUGUCUCUGAAGGUCUACUUCUACUUCUUGCCAAGGGCUGGUGCACUACUGAAAUUUAAGAAAAAUCUUAAAAGAUUUAGACUGCAAUUUCUGAAACUGAAGCAUUAUUGUACAGAAAUUGUAUUAUCUGAAGUAUUACUAUAUAGAAAUUUACCUCCUUAAUGCAAUUUGUCUACUUUUUCUCCAAACAUCACAAAAGCAAAUUAAAAUUUAUAUACACCAAAAUAUUUUACAAAAGAUUUUAAACUACUCUGUUACUUGAGAAAAGAUUCUGGCAGCGCUGAUGGAAUUUGCUUUAUGUACUGCUAUGGUUUAUACUUUUUCAUUGUAUAAUUUGUUUUAUUUCAACUGCAACUCAACAGGAUCACAAAGGAAAGUAUGAAUAAACAUGAAUUUGAGAUGUUGCAACUGAGCACAGGAGUGUAAUGAUGUUAAAUUCUUCCCUACAAAUCAGCUUCUUGCAAGAAGCUUUAAAUGUCUGAUUUCCUCCACAGAACUCAAACCAAACCACUGAUGUUACUAAAAAUGAGUAGCUUGCCUGCAUAUGUCCCUUACAGCAUCAUUCUCUUAUAAUUGAUUUGUACAACACAAAAGCCAGUACAAAAGGUUGCACAGAAAGGAGUUUGCUCUUACCCUACCUAAGCAGCUCCCACAAAAGCUGCCACUGAAACUUCUCUCAAUGCACGCCAGAGAUUUCUACAUUGUGAAAGCUAAGGAAUUUGACUGCAUGGUUUUUAAAGAAACCAACAGGAUCAUCAGUUUUAUAUGAUUACAUUUUUGCCUGCUGAUAUUCAUCGAUUCUUGAAAGGAAAUGAAAGCAAUAUAAAAAGACAGGAGUUACACUGAACCAGUAGUGUUUUACUUUUCUCAUGCUUGUGAAUGCAGAUUCCAAUUAAAAAGCGAUGAUGGUUAGAGCUUUUGUAUCUUAUUUUCCCUUCCAAUUUGUGAAAUAUAGUUAGAUAGAGCACUAAAAUAAGGAUGAAGAGAGAAGGAUAGAGGUAGCAAGGCAUCUAAAUGUAUAUCUAAAUAUAACCAAGAUUGUUUAUGUCAAUGAGCUCUCCAAAAGGAUAAGCAUGUGUUCAUGUGACUUUCUCAGUCAGGGAGAUGGUUCGCAAUGCUCCCUCGUGCAUUGUAUGCUUUAUUGUUCAUAUUUCAAAGGCCUUUUUUUCAAGAUUCUAAACAAAUAAAUCAAAAGUUAAGUUAUUAUCCCAGUUGUAGAAAUGGAGAAAUUGAAGUAUUGAAGUAUUGAAGUUGUUUACUAUUAGGGAUAGGAUUAGAUUUCAUGUCAUCAUUCUAAAUCUUGCAUCCAGUCUUCUAGCACUGACUACCUACCAUAAUGUGACACACGUUCAUGUGUUUGGUUUUAAGUGAUUAAUACCCAGGGAAGAGCAAUUGCCUGAAUAUCAGGCAAAUGACUAAAAAUUUCUUAAGGAUAACUCAACAUUGAAGAUAAAAGACCUAACAUUUCAUGUUACAAUUCUCAUCUUUACUGUUUCUCAGGCAUGCUCUGAUUCAUCUCUGCAGAAUACUUCAUAUACUGUAGUUUAACUUUACAUUUCUAUCAUGAUACCAAAAUUUUUCCAAAACAGCCAUUUCCCUACACACUGAGUAUUGCUAGCUCUUAAAUCAAAUGUAUACUGUCUGCUUCCAUCCCUGCUCUCUGUCUCAAUUAUUAUUUUUCUGAAGAUAAGAAAAUCCCAUUUUUACCACUGGAGAGCCAGGCUGCUUAGGUCACAAGAUUCUCUUGGCUUAAUCCUUGAGUAUGAAUCAUGAACUUUCCCUAAUAAGUACUGGCAUUCUUCAGAUGAUCAAGCUAGCUUACUAAGGCUUCCAGAGCUUUCCACAUUAAUUAUCACCAUGUUUGAAGUAUCAAAAGCAGUAGCUGAUUAAGAAUUAUUAAGACUAUAAGUUGUUUAUUCUUACUUUUUGUUUCUGUCCUCUAUUUCUCACUCUUAUGUGGGUUGAUACUGUAAAUGGCAAUAAUACAACCCAGUUAAAAGAAAACAAAAUGUGAAAAAGAAUACGAAAAAGAUAAAUCAGAUGGAAAAAAUCAAUGUGAAAAAUUGGAAACAAAGUAAGUUGCUUUCUACACUACAUGGCUCAAAAGUAAGCUAUAAACGCCUACGACUCUAGUUCAGAAAAAGCUUUUUUUUCUCACAUUUAAUAUCAGAAAAUUGUGACAUAACCAGACUAAUAGUAAGCCUGUACUCUGCAAAUUACUUAUAACCCCUGCAAAAGAAUCAUACACUCUACUGAGAAGUCAUAGUAAAUGCGAUGUGAUUAAGUAAGAGUUCUGCUAAGAAAUAAAUAAAAUGAAGUCCCUAAAAAGAAACAAGAAACUAUUUCUUAACACUUGAAAGUGGGAACAGAAUAUUCACUCUAGAUUCAGAGUACAGGAAAUUGCUAAGACUGGACUCUACUAAGUACUUUAAAUCUGGAAACAUGAAGAUCCCGGGCACUUCAGGAAAGAUUUUAUAUUCAUGCAGCAAAUUUAGAUACUAAAGCUAGCAAAAGUAGAACAAAUAUGAACCUAUUCAGUUUAGCUACCAAAAAUAUUUUUGUAUCUUUUACCAGGAUUAGCACAUCUAAAUAAAGAUGCAAGUAAAUUCCUCAAACGGUAUUUUAAGUGUGGCAGAGUGUGACAGGAUAAAAGUAUAUUUAAUGUUUGCAAAAAUAAGUAGGUUUGUACUUAACUGGCAGUUAAUUAAAAAAUGUGUGUCUAUGGGUCCAUUAUACAUGUAUGAAUAACAGGACACACCCAAGUCAUAGUCAAAAUCAUUUGGGAACUUUUAUGAAGACAACAAAUAUUUUUACAAUAGCAGCGAUUAAGCCUGAAUAUAAAAGCAGAAAGCUCUGAGAGGAAAUCAGAAGUGAGUCAAAAUCACUAGUGGUUACUCUCAUAUUUAUCAUCAGAAGUGAGUCAAAAUCACCAGGCGUUACUCUCACAUUUAUCAUUAUAUAAACUGUAGUAUAAGAAUGCAGUCAAGAGGAAAAGAAGAAACAAGAUGAAAAGAGCAAAUCCAAGACACAUCUUCAGUAUUAUUUCCAAAGCUGACAAGUUCAAGAAAAAUACUACGAGUAGUAUUAAAUAGAAAAGGCUUCUUUGAGCUCUCAAAAGAAUGAGUUCUCAAAAAAGAACUAAAACCAGUGAAAUAACAUUGCAGUUUAUGUUUCUCAGAAAUACAAGAAUCCUUUGAAAUCAAAUUUAGAUACUGUAUUUAGAUAUUUACAAAUUUAAAAAAUACACAAAAAUAUCUUAAAGGUUCAGUACAGUCCUUUUUUGAGGCAUGAUCUAGUGAUACACUUGAGCAAGUGAGUAGCUGAACCUGAGUCUUGCUUCCAAGAAUUUCCAUAAUUUAGCACCCAAGUUCAGGAAAUGACUUGAAGUCAUACCAACCUGAUUCAGUAAACUAUUUGAAGACACAGCAUACUAAGCAUUGAAUUUCAUAUUUGCUAUGUACUUUACCACAUAAACAGAAUCUUUCUCCAGAAUGAAGGUCUCUGCAGAAAGAGUAAAACAUCCUCUAAUUCUAUUAACUAUUUUUCUAACUAAGUACAGAAUACAAAAGUUGGGUAGAAGAUCUAGAAUGGAUUGGUAGAGAUCUAUGUCAUCCCUGUCUUAAAAAAAAAAAAGAAAAAAAAGUUUCAUACAGGAGUAGUCUUACUCAAACUUUAUUUAUUAGAGAUAAGCUCAAGUCACUUAAGUGAAAGCUAGACAUACACAAGCAACACUUCUGGAAGAAAACUUUAAUGUAUUAUUUCCAGACUUGGUGAAAAACACUGCGAAGUCUUACAAACACUUCAUAACACCAUGCAAAAAUUUAACCUAAAAUUUAGGCUACUGCUGUGAUGAGCAUUUAGAGGAGAAGUUUAACAUUUUUCAGAAGCUGUACUAUUUGAUCGUUAACUCUUUUUGUCCUGUUCCUCAUUACAUCUGAAAAUAUUUUAAUUUGCUUUGUUUUUAUGGAAGUGUACAGAUGUGCAGAAAGCCUGUUUAACAAUUCAU